AACGAACGCUGGCGGCAUGCCUAACACAUGCAAGUCGAACGAGACCUUCGGGUCUAGUGGCGCACGGGUGCGUAACGCGUGGGAACCUGCCCUUAGGGUCGGAAUAACUCCCCGAAAGGGGUGCUAAUACCGGAUAAUGUCUUCGGACCAAAGAUUUAUCGCCUUUGGAUGGGCCCGCGUUGGAUUAGCUAGUUGGUAGGGUAAAAGCCUCCCAAGGCGACGAUCCAUAGCUGGUCUGAGAGGAUGAUCAGCCACACUGGGACUGAGACACGGCCCAGACUCCUACGGGAGGCAGCAGUGGGGAAUAUUUGACAAUGGGCGAAAGCCUGAUCCACCACUGCCGCGUGAGUGAUGAAGGCCUUAGGGUUGUAAAGCUCUUUUACCCGGGAUGAUAAUGACAGUACCGUGAGAAUAAGCUCCGGCUAACUCCGUG
rnacentral:rRNA from 1 species